CCUACGGGUGGCAGCAGUGGGGAAUAUUGCACAAUGGGGGAAACCCUGAUGCAGCGACGCCGCGUGAGUGAAGAAGGAUCUCGGUACGUAAAGCUCUAUCAGCAGGGAAGAAAAUGAUGGUACUUGACUAAUAAGCACCGGCUAACUACGAGCCAGCAGCAGCGGUAAUACGGAGGGGGCAAGCGUUAUCCGGAUUUACUGGGUGUAAAGGGAGCGUAGACGGCAGCUCAAGUCUGGAGUGAAAUCCCAUGGCUUAACCAUGGAACUGCUUUGGAAACUGUGCAGCUGGAGUGCAGGAGAGGUAGGCGGAAUUCCUAGUGUAGCGGUGAAAUGCGUAGAUAUUAGGAAGAACACCAGUGGCGAAGGCGGCUUACUGGGCUGUAACUGACGUUGAGGCUCGAAAGCGUGGGGAGCAAACAGGAUUAGAUACCCGGGUAGUC
rnacentral:rRNA from 1 species